UCCUUGUGGGACAAGUUCACAUCGUGGUGGGGAUCUGAAGAACUUGGAGCGAUAAGGAAACGGAAAAAGCCCAUAGGCAGUAAAACGGCCUAAAAACCUAAAACCGCGAAAAUAUGCUGGGACUGAUGCUUUUUGAUUAGAAAGUUUAAAAAAGGCACGGUGUACUUUGUAGUUAAUAGGUAGAUGCAAGCCUUCCAUUUUAGUUACUACAAAUUGAGAUUAUACCUUUGUAUAAUUACAAGCAAAAUAGGACAUCUCGUGCCAGUGAAACAAUACUGCAGCAUCGUAAGACUACGCGUGGAUUCAAACAUGUUAUACUUAUACACAAUACAGUAAUUAAUAUACUGGGUGUCCCAAAAGUCAAUUUGCGCUUCCUUUUUUCUAUUUCAUUUCAAGGGACAUUCGGACAAAUGAAUGAUGUGCUGUCGAGUGGAAGUUGUCUCACGUCGACGGCCUCACAUUUGGCCAAAUGAAACCUUAAACCACGGCGGCAGCUGUAAUUUUUGUCGCGGGCCACAAUGUAGUUACCGUUUCCCUUGGAGUACCGUUAUGAAUUUUAGGAAACAAUAUAAAUGUUUAAUCACCUCCACAUAUUACAUACACAGUGCACAACAAAUUGAUGGAUAACUAGUUUUAAAAUCAGAAGUAAAAAAAAAAAAUGACUCUUAUUGUGGCUUAUGUAUGACAAUUUGAAAUUUUUGUUCAGACUUUAGCAAGCAUCAUGGAAGUUGACAUGCUCGGUUUGCUUUUGCGGGCCACGUAAAAUGAUGUGGCGGGCCAGAUCUGGCCCUCGGGCCUUGAGUUAGACAGUGUAUUAAACAAAACAGGGAAAAAAGGAAGUGUCAUGAUUUUUGUGACACUACUUAUAUUUCAAUAUCGUUGCUGUGCCAACAAAAAUCACUUAUCACCGUAUUUUGAUCUGAAACGCAAA